rfam:Ciona savignyi cont_37027, whole genome shotgun sequence.
GCCCGGUUAGAUCAGCCGGUAGAGCGUUGGACUUUUAAUCCAAAGGCCAAGGUUUCAAGUCCUGGAACGGGCU